UACAGAGGGUGCGAGCGUUAAUCGGAAUUACUGGGCGUAAGGCGUGCGUAGACGGCUAUCUAAGUCGGGUGUGAAAGCCCCGGGCUCAACCUGGGAAUUGCAUUCGAGACUGAAUAGCUAGGGUACGGUAGAGGGAAGUGGAAUUUCCGGUGUAGCGGUGAAAUGCGUAGAUAUCGGAAGGAACAUCAGUGGCGAAAGCGACUUCCUGGACCAGUACCGACGUUCAGGCACGAAAGCGUGGGGAGCAAACAGG
rnacentral:rRNA from 1 species